rnacentral:rRNA from 1 species
CCUACGGGAGGCAGCAGUGAGGAAUAUUGGUCAAUGGGCGUAAGCCUGAACCAGCCAAGUCGCGUGAGGGAUGAAGGUUCUAUGGAUCGUAAACCUCUUUUAUAAGGGAAUAAAGUGCGGGACGUGUCCCGUUUUGUAUGUACCUUAUGAAUAAGGAUCGGCUAACUCCGUGCCAGCAGCCGCGGUAAUACGGAGGAUCCGAGCGUUAUCCGGAUUUAUUGGGUUUAAAGGGUGCGUAGGCGGCCUUUUAAGUCAGCGGUGAAAGUCUGUGGCUCAACCAUAGAAUUGCCGUUGAAACUGGGAGGCUUGAGUAUGUUUGAGGCAGGCGGAAUGCGUGGUGUAGCGGUGAAAUGCUUAGAUAUCACGCAGAACCCCGAUUGCGAAGGCAGCCUGCCAAGCCAUGACUGACGCUGAUGCACGAAAGCGUGGGUAUCAAACAGGAUUAGAGACCCCGGUAGUC